rnacentral:rRNA from 1 species
AGCGAACGCUGGCGGCAGGCUUAACACAUGCAAGUCGAGCGGGCCCUUCGGGGUCAGCGGCAGACGGGUGAGUAACGCGUGGGAACGUGCCCUUCGGUUCGGAAUAACUCAGGGAAACUUGAGCUAAUACCGGAUACGCCCUUAUGGGGAAAGGCUUGCUGCCGAAGGAUCGGCACGCGUCUGAUUAGCUAGUUGGUGAGGUUAUGGCUCACCAAGGCGACGAUCAGUAGCUGGUCUGAGAGGAUGAUCAGCCACACUGGGACUGAGACACGGCCCAGACUCCUACGGGAGGCAGCAGUGGGGAAUAUUGGACAAUGGGGGCAACCCUGAUCCAGCCAUGCCGCGUGAGUGAUGACGGCCUUAGGGUUGUAAAGCUCUUUUCUCCGGGACGAUAAUGACGGUACCGGAGGAAUAAGCCCCGGCUAACUUCGUG